CCCGACGGUUCGCCUGCGGCCGCCUCCAACAACGGUGGAAACCGCACACAGGGACCGCGGGCCCUCGGCGCAGCAAAUCGGAAAGUGCUGCGGUCGGCGGCGCUGGGCUCUGAGCGCUCAAGCGAGCAGAGGGGUCGAGGGGUUCUCCCCACCCACAGGAGGCUCUCGGCGGGGCGCAGCCAAUUCUGCGUGCCCAAGGCUCCCCUCUGCCGUGGAUCGCGUGUGCCGAAUGUCAGCCUCUUCCCCGAAAGGGCCAGACGGACCAAGGGGGCCUUCCCAGCCGGCUGCAAGCUCUCAGACGCUAAAAUGGGAACAAAGCUUCCAGAAAGGCAGCGCUUUUGGGCGGCCGCGCCCCUCCCAGCCGCGGGGGCCAUUGAUACAGAGGCCUGCUGCGCUUGGUGUGCGCGGCCCGGCCGGGCCUCUGGAAACGCCCAUGAGAAAUGAGCUCAUGCUGGAUGCGCGCGCUCCUUGGGCGCAACUGCCCAGCGCAAAACGGGCCCCGAAAGCAGGUGAGUGGAGGACACUUCAAUCUAAAGUGAUCUUAAAGGAUGAGUAGUAGGAUUUGAAGAUGAAGAAAGAAGAGGGGAAGUAAAUUACUUUCCCUCACUUCAAUUUCAACCCAUCAGAUAAACCCUCUCUUUAGUAAACCCGCAUGUGGGUGGAGCUGUAAGAGCAAUUAAGGACAGUGUGACUCUGUUCUUCUGACUUUGGGAAAACCAGUUUGGCUGGAACAAAAAGCUGAUAGAGAAGACUAAUGGAAGAUAAGGUUGAAAAGGUAGGUUUGAGGGAGCUUUGAAUGUUACAGGAAAAAAAAAAUCUGGGCUUUGUCCUGUAGACAGUGGAGAGGUAUUUUAGCAGAUGUAAGACAUUACCAUUAUAGAAAAGCCUCUGAGUAACAUACACUGUGGUUUUUCCUGUUGCUGAAAAUAUGCCCAGAGUAACAAGACGUGGCAUAGUUGGUCGUGUGUCUUAUAACCA
rnacentral:lncRNA from 1 species